GCCUGGGUGGCUCAGUCGGUUAAGCAUCUGACUUCAGCUCAGGUCACGAUCUCACGGUCCGUGGGUUCGAGCCCCGCGUCGGGCU
rfam:Felis catus isolate Cinnamon breed Abyssinian chromosome E2, whole genome shotgun sequence.